CAAUAGCGUAUAUUAAAGUUGUUGCAGUUAAAAAGCUCGUAGUUGGAUUUGUGGCGUACGGUGUGUUCCGGGCACUUGUUGUCUGAGUAACCUGCUGUUGCCACCCUUGGGUGGAACCUGUGUGGCAUUAGGUUGUCGUGCAGGGGAUGCCCAUCAUUUACUGUGAAAAAAUUAGAGUGUUCAAAGCAGGCUUAUGCCGUUGAAUAUAUUAGCAUGGAAUAAUGAGAUAGGACUUUUUUGCUAUUUUGUUGGUUUGCGCAAGAAGGUAAUGAUUAAUAGGGACAGUUGGGGGUAUUCGUAUUCCAUUGUCAGAGGUGAAAUUCUUGGAUUUUUGGAAGACGAACUACUGCGAAAGCAUUUACCAAGGAUGUUUUCAUUAA
rnacentral:rRNA from 1 species